rnacentral:lncRNA from 1 species
AGUUUAUUCCUUUCUCUCUUUCCCAGCCAUGGCCUCUCAGCCACCAGUCACCUCUUCCCCCAACCCCCUGACCUCCCACUUCUCUUCUCAAUUCAACUGCUCUUCAGGAUUUCUGGUUGCACUACCUCUGGAGACAAGACUCUAGCAUUUGUUCUUAGUUACCUGACCCUCAGGAAGAUUUAGGCUUUUUUUUUUUCUCCCAUCUCACCUUGUAUAAAUAUGUCUUCUCAGUAUAGUAAUGUCAUUGGAUUGAGGAUACUUGUUUGCAGAGGAGGCAAGAAUGCGUUGUUCCGUUUUUGAAUUCCACACAUCUAAUAUGGAGCCUGAGCCACAGGGCUCAAAAUGUUAAGUAAACAAAUGAAUGGGAAAUUAAUAAGAAGAAUGCAUUGGCAAGACCGUGAAGGCCUGCCAUGGGAAGCUUUGGGAAGAAGCCAGCUGCCAUGUUGUGAGAACUCUCAAGCAGCUGUGUGGAGAGAUCCAUGUGGUGAGGAACUGAAGCCUCCUACCCACCAUCAAGUCAGUGGCUCACUACUGUUGCAGUGAAUUCUCCAGCCCAUGAAGACUUUAGAUGAUUUACCCAACAUCUUGAUUAUAGCCUCAUGGAUUCCCUGAGCCAGAACAACCCAGCUAAGCCUCUCCUGAAUUCCUUACCUACAGAAACUGUGAGAUAAUAAAUAUUUAUUCUUU